rnacentral:rRNA from 1 species
AGAGUUUGAUCAUGGCUCAGAGCGAACGCUGGCGGCAGGCUUAACACAUGCAAGUCGAGCGGGCGUAGCAAUACGUCAGCGGCAGACGGGUGAGUAACGCGUGGGAACAUACCUUUUGGUUCGGAACAACCCAGGGAAACUUGGGCUAAUACCGGAUAAGCCCUUACGGGGAAAGAUUUAUCGCCGAAAGAUUGGCCCGCGUCUGAUUAGCUAGUUGGUGAGGUAAUGGCUCACCAAGGCGACGAUCAGUAGCUGGUCUGAGAGGAUGAUCAGCCACAUUGGGACUGAGACACGGCCCAAACUCCUACGGGAGGCAGCAGUGGGGAAUAUUGGACAAUGGGCGCAAGCCUGAUCCAGCCAUGCCGCGUGAGUGAUGAAGGCCCUAGGGUUGUAAAGCUCUUUUGUGCGGGAAGAUAAUGACGGUACCGCAAGAAUAAGCCCCGGCUAACUUCGUGCCAGCAGCCGCGGUAAUACGAAGGGGGCUAGCGUUGCUCGGAAUCACUGGGCGUAAAGGGUGCGUAGGCGGGUCUUUAAGUCAGGGGUGAAAUCCUGGAGCUCAACUCCAGAACUGCCUUUGAUACUGAAGAUCUUGAGUUCGGGAGAGGUGAGUGGAACUGCGAGUGUAGAGGUGAAAUUCGUAGAUAUUCGCAAGAACACCAGUGGCGAAGGCGGCUCACUGGCCCGAUACUGACGCUGAGGCACGAAAGCGUGGGGAGCAAACAGGAUUAGAUACCCUAGUAGUCC